rnacentral:rRNA from 1 species
CCUGUAGAGAUACGGGAGUGCUAGCUUGCUAGAAUGAAGUGACAGGUGCUGCACGGCUGUCGUCAGCUCGUGUCGUGAGAUGUUGGGUUAAGUCCCGCAACGAGCGCAACCCUCGUGUUUAGUUUGCUAACAGUUCGGCUGAGCACUCUAAACAGACUGCCUUCGUAAGGAGGAGGAAGGUGAGGACGACGUCAAGUCAUCAUGGCCCUUAUGGCCAGGGCUACACACGUGCUACAAUGGAUAGGACAAUGAGACGCAAUACCGCGAGGUGGAGCAAAUCUAUAAACCUAUUCUCAGUUCGGAUUGUUCUCUGCAACUCGAGAACAUGAAGCUGGAAUCGCUAGUAAUCGUAGAUCAGCAUUGCUACGGUGAAUACGUUCCCGGGUCUU